UGAACGCUGGCGGCAUGCUUUACACAUGCAAGUCGAACGGCAGCGCGGGGCAACCUGGCGGCGAGUGGCGAACGGGUGAGUAAUAUAUCGGAACGUACCCAAGAGUGGGGGAUAACGUAGCGAAAGUUACGCUAAUACCGCAUACGAUCUAAGGAUGAAAGCAGGGGACCACAAGGCCUUGUGCUCCUGGAGCGGCCGAUAUCUGAUUAGCUAGUUGGUAGGGUAAAGGCCUACCAAGGCAUCGAUCAGUAGCUGGUCUGAGAGGACGACCAGCCACACUGGAACUGAGACACGGUCCAGACCCCUACGGGAGGCAGCAGUGGGGAAUUUUGGACAAUGGGCGCAAGCCUGAUCCAGCAAUGCCGCGUGAGUGAAGAAGGCCUUCGGGUUGUAAAGCUCUUUUGUCAGAGAAGAAACGGUUUCGGCUAAUAUCCGGAGCUAAUGACGGUACCUGAAGAAUAAGCACCGGCUAACUACGUGCCAGCAGCCGCGGUAAUACGUAGGGUGCAAGCGUUAAUCGGAAUUACUGGGCGUAAAGCGUGCGCAGGCGGUUUUGUAAGUCUGUCGUGAAAUCCCCGGGCUCAACCUGGGAAUGGCGAUGGAGACUGCAAGGCUAGAGUUUGGCAGAGGGGGGUAGAAUUCCACGUGUAGCAGUGAAAUGCGUAGAGAUGUGGAGGAACACCGAUGGCGAAGGCAGUCCCCUGGGUCAAAACUGACGCUCAUGCACGAAAGCGUGGGGAGCAAACA
rnacentral:rRNA from 1 species